AAUAUAGGAACUUCGCCUAAAAGCGCAACGUCCUGUUGCAACGGCGAAGCAAGUCACAUCCAUGUACAAGUGAA
rnacentral:sRNA from 1 species